UACUGAGAUGGACCCGCCGAGGCCAGUGUGCCAAGGGUGUUUCCUCCAAGCGGCCAUGUGGGGAAUCUACUGCAACGAGUGUCACUACGACAUUGCAGGCCGCUCGGCGAGCGCCACCCCCUCAGCCCUGAGAAACAAGCCUCCGCCCCUGAUCCAGCGGCAGCAGAUGCGCAUUCUCGAGAUUACGCCCGAUUUUUCUGACUUUUCUAUUG